rnacentral:rRNA from 1 species
AUUGAACGCUGGCGGCAGGCCUAACACAUGCAAGUCGGGCGAGCGGCGGACGGGUGAGUUAUGCAUGUGGAUCUGCCUGAUGGAGGGCGAUCACAACCGGACACGGUAGCUAAUACCGUACACCUUAACAUGAACCCAUUUGGGAUUAGCUAGUAGGUGAGGUAACGGGUUACCUGGGCCCCGAUCCCUAGCUGGUGUGAGAGGAUGCACAGGCCCACUGAGACUGAGACAGGGCCCAGACUCCUACGUGAGGCAGCAGUGGGGAAUAUUGGACAAUGGGCGCAAGCCUGAUGCAGCCAUGCCGCGGGUGUGAAGAAGGCCUUCGGGUUGUAAAGUACUUUCAGUCGGGAGGCGUUACCGACAGAAGAAGCACCGGCUAACUCCGUGCCAGCAGCCGCGGUAAUUC